AUUGAACGCUGGCGGCAUGCUUUACACAUGCAAGUCGAACGGCAGCGCGGGCUUCGGCCUGGCGGCGAGUGGCGAACGGGUGAGUAAUAUAUCGGAACGUACCCAAGAGUGGGGGAUAACGUAGCGAAAGUUACGCUAAUACCGCAUACGAUCUAAGGAUGAAAGCAGGGGAUCGCAAGACCUUGUGCUCCUGGAGCGGCCGAUAUCUGAUUAGCUAGUUGGUGGGGUAAAGGCCCACCAAGGCAACGAUCAGUAGCUGGUCUGAGAGGACGACCAGCCACACUGGAACUGAGACACGGUCCAGACUCCUACGGGAGGUAGCAGUGGGGGAAUUUUGGACAAUGGGGGGCAACCCUGAUCCAGCAAUGCCGCGUGAGUGAAGAAGGCCUUCGGGUUGUAAAGGCUCUUUUGUCUAGGGAAGAAAAGGACUGUGGCUAAUAUCCACAGCUGCUGACGGUACCUGAAGAAUAAGCACCGGCUAACUACGUGCCAGCAGCCGCGGUAAU
rnacentral:rRNA from 1 species